GACGAACGCUGGCGGCGUGCCUAAUACAUGCAAGUAGAACGCUGAAGAGAGGAGCUUACUCUUCUUGGAUGAGUUGCGAACGGGUGAGUAACGCGUAGGUAACCUGCCUUGUAGCGGGGGAUAACUAUUGGAAACGAUAGCUAAUACCGCAUAACAAUGGAUGACACAUGUCAUUUAUUUGAAAGGGGCAAUUGCUCCACUACAAGAUGGACCUGCGUUGUAUUAGCUAGUAGGUGAGGUAAUGGCUCACCUAGGCGACGAUACAUAGCCGACCUGAGAGGGUGAUCGGCAACACUGGGACUGAGACACGGCCCAGACUCCUACGGGAGGCAGCAGUAGGGAAUCUUCGGCAAUGGGGGCAACCCUGACCGAGCAACGCCGCGUGAGUGAAGAAGGUUUUCGGAUCGUAAAGCUCUGUUGUAAGUCAAGAACGGGUGUGAGAGUGGAAAGUUCACACUGUGACGGUAGCUUACCAGAAAGGGACGGCUAACUACGUG
rnacentral:rRNA from 1 species